AUUGAACGCUGGCGGCAGGCCUAACACAUGCAAGUCGAGGGUCGCGGCGGACGGGUGAGUAAUGCCUAGGUAUCUUCCUCGCAGUGGGGGAUAACGUACGGAAACGGGCGCUAAUACCGCAUACUAUCAGAUGACUCUUGUUCGGAUUACUUUGUGGUGGGGUAAAGGCCUACCAAGGCGACGAUCCGUAACUGGUCUGAGAGGAGGAUCAGCCACACUGGGACUGAGACACGGCCCAGACUCCUACGGGAGGCAGCAGUGGGGAAUAUUGCACAAUGGGCGCAAGCCUGAUGCAGCCAUGCCGCGUGUAUGAAGAAGGCCUUCGGGUUGUAAAGUACUUUCAGUCGGGAGGCGUUACCGACAGAAGAAGCACCGGCUAACUCCGGCCAGCAGCCGCGGUAAUAC
rnacentral:rRNA from 1 species